UACAGAGUUCUCAAGCGUUGUUCGGAUUCAUUGGGCGUAAAGGGUGCGUAGGUGGUGACGCAAGUCUGGUGUGAAAUCUCGGAGCUCAACUCCGAAAUUGCACCGGAUACCGCGUGACUCGAGGACUGUAGAGGAGAUCGGAAUUCACGGUGUAGCAGUGAAAUGCGUAGAUAUCGUGAGGAAGACCAGUUGCGAAGGCGGAUCUCUGGGCAGUUCCUGACACUGAGGCACGAAGGCCAGGGGAGCAAACGGG
rnacentral:rRNA from 1 species